rnacentral:sRNA from 1 species
UAGUAGGCAGAUGCGUUAGGGAUUGUAGCGGCAUCCUUUUUUAAAAUUAACUAACACUAAAUUAGUUUUCUAGUAAAUAAUAAACAGAUAGCCAAUUACUUAGUAGUCGCGAUAACGUUUAAAAAAGAUAUAGCGGAAAGCCCGACCCUUU